CAGGGGCUGUGUGCACCAUGGCCUGGGCUCCUGUCCUGCUCGUGCUCCUCUCUCACUGCACAGGUUCCCUGUCCCAGCCUGUGGUGACUCAGCCGCCCUCCCUCUCUGCAUCUCCUGGGGCAUCAGCCAGACUUACCUGCACCCUGAGCAGUGGCUUCAGUGUUGGCAGCUAUGCUAUAUCCUGGCACCAGCAGAAGCCAGGGAGUCCGCCCCGGUACCUGCUGUACUACCACACAGACUCGAACAAGCACCAGGGCUCCGGGGUCCCCAGCCGCUUCUCUGGCUCCAAAGAUGCCUCGGCCAACGCAGGGAUUCUGCACGUCUCUGGGCUGCAGCCUGAGGACGAGGCUGACUAUUACUGUGCCGUGUGGCACAACGGUGCUUGUCACAGUGACACAGUUGGAUGGGGAAGUGGGACGAAAACCCCAGCCUGGGGUGGCGAGUCCAAGGCAGGGGAUGGAGAAGGCGACCUGUGGAUCCCUGCAGUCCCUGGUGACCCCACACGAGGGCCCCUGGGGAGCAAACGCUCCAGCGCGCCCCACUACCUUUCCCAGGUGGCCAAAGGGCCAGAAGCAGGUUCAUCUGCCAGGAGGGCUCAGCUGUGCAGUGCACAUGCGCAGAGCGUGUGA